rnacentral:rRNA from 1 species
CCGCCAGAGCACUACGAGCAGCAGCUUAAAACUCAAAGGACUUGGCGGUGCCCNAAACCUACUUAGAGGAGCCUGUUCUAUAAUCGAUAACCCACGUUAAACCUCACCAUCUUUUGAUCCUCAGCCUAUAUACCACCGUCGCCAGCUAGCCUUUUAAAAGAAAUAAAACUAGCCAAACAGGACAGCCCAAAUACGUCAGGUCAAGGUGUAGCACAUAAGAUGGAAGAAAUGGGCUACAUUUUCUUUUUAAAGAAACACGGAAAGUCUCAUGAAAACAACUCCAAAGACGGAUUUAACAGUAAGCGGGACCAAUUAUAUCCCUCUUGAAACCAGCCCUGGGGGCAGC